rnacentral:rRNA from 1 species
UGAUGACGAGACGCUAAGGCGUUGAAGCAGUGUAUGUCAGACUUCCAAGAAAAGCUCGCUAUGUCAUAAAUAAAGAAUGCCUGUACCAUAACCGACACAGGUGGGUAGGUAGAGUACACUAAGGGGCGCGAGAUAACUCUCUCUAAGGAACUCGGCAAAAUGACUCCGUAACUUCGGGAGAAGGAGUGCCUUAUUUAUAAGGUUGCAAUAACAAGAUCCAAGCAACUGUUUAUCAAAAACACAGGUCUCCGCUAAGUCGUAAGACGAUGUAUGGGGGCUGACGCCUGCCCAGUGCCAGAAGGUUAAAGAAGUUGGUUAGUGUAUGCGAAGCUGAUGACUGAAGCCCUGGUGAACGGCGGCCGUAACAAUAACGGUCCUAAGGUAGCGAAAUUCCUUGUCGGGUAAGUUCCGACCCGCACGAAAGGCGUAAUGAUUUGGAUACUGUCUCGGAGAGAGGCUCGGUGAAAUAGACUUGUCUGUGAAGAUGCGGACUACCUGCACCAGGACAGAAAGACCCUAUGAAGCUUUACUGUAACUUGAAAUUGGAAUUGGACUUUGCUUGCGCAGUAUAGGUGGGAAGCGUUGAAAAUAUUCUUGCGGGAGUAUUGGAGCUAUCAGUGAGAUACCACUCUUGUAAUGUUAGAUUUCUAACUUUGAACCAUAAUCUGGUCAAAGAACAGUUUCAGGUGGGCAGUUUGACUGGGGCGGUCGCCUCCCAAAUGGUAACGGAGGCGUACAAAGGUUUCCUCUGAACGGAUAGAAAUCGUAUCUAGAGUGUAAAGGCAUAAGGAAGCUUGACUGUGAGACCUACAAGUCGAGCAGGGACGAAAGUCGGUCUUAGUGAUCUGACGGUACUGAGUGGAAAGGCCGUCACUCAACGGAUAAAAGUUACUCUAGGAUAACAGGCUGAUCUCCCCCAAGAGUUCACAUCGACGGGGAGGUUUGGCACCUCGAUGUCGGCUCAUCGCAUCCUGGGGCGGUAGUACGUCCCAAGGUUGGGCUGUUCGCCCAUGAAAGCGGUACGCGAGCUGGGUUCAGAACGUCGUGAGACAGUUCGGUCCAUAUCCGGUGUAGGCGCUAGAAUAUUGAGAGGAGCCUUCUUUAGUACGAGAGGACCGAGAAGGACACACCGCUGGUGUACCAGUUAUCGUGCCAACGGUAAACGCUGGGUAGCUAUGUGUGGAGUGGAUAACCGCUGAAAGCAUCUAAGUGGGAAGCCCACCUCGAGAUGAGUAUUCUCAUC